GAUGAACGCUGGCGGCGUGCCUAAUACAUGCAAGUCGAGCGAACCACUUCGGUGGUGAGCGGCGAACGGGUGAGUAACACGUAGGUUAUCUGCCCAUCAGACGGGGACAACGAUUGGAAACGAUCGCUAAUACCGGAUAGGACGAAAGUUUAAAGGUGCUUCGGCACCACUGAUGGAUGAGCCUGCGGCGCAUUAGCUAGUUGGUAGGGUAAAGGCCUACCAAGGCGACGAUGCGUAGCCGACCUGAGAGGGUGAACGGCCACACUGGGACUGAGACACGGCCCAGACUCCUACGGGAGGCAGCAGUAGGGAAUCUUCGGCAAUGGGCGAAAGCCUGACCGAGCAACGCCGCGUGAAUGAUGAAGGCCUUCGGGUUGUAAAAUUCUGUUAUAAGGGAAGAAUGGCUUUAGUAGGAAAUGGCUAGAGUGUGACGGUACCUUAUGAGAAAGCCACGGCUAACUACGUGCCAGCCGCCGCCGUAAGAC
rnacentral:rRNA from 1 species